rnacentral:rRNA from 1 species
AUGGAGUCGCAGCAGCAGCAGCAGCAGAUGGAGGCGGUUUCUGCGCCGGCCGCCUCCACGAACGGGGGCGGGGAGCUGAUCGGGUACGUGGACGUGCACGUGCGGAGCGCGCGGGACAUCCAGAACAUCUGCAUCUACCACAAGCAGGACGUGUACGCGCGCCUCUCGCUGCCGGGGGAGGGCGCGCCGGCGGCGUCCACGCAGGUCAUCAAUGGCGGCGGCCGCAACCCGGUGUUUGACCAGUCCGUGCGCGUCGGCGUGCGCGCGGGGGACGUCGACGCCGCGCUCCGCUGCGAGGUCUGGAUGCUCAGCCGGGUCAAGAACUACCUGCAGGACCAGCUGCUGGGCUUCGCGCUCGUGCCGCUCCCGGACGUCGUCGCCGCCGAGGGUGGCACGCUCGCGCGCGAGUUCCCGCUCUCCACCAACGACCUCUUCCACUCCCCGGCCGGGUUCUUGGAGCUCGAGCUCUCGUACAUCGGGGUCGUGCCCGAUGUCAUUCCCGUCUCGCCCACGCCCAAGCCUGCGCUGGCCGAUCCGGAUGAGUGCGAGAACGCCGGCGGCGGAGCCGGCGCUGGCGCAGGGAAGGACUACGAGAACAUGGAGUUCCCUGACAUGAAUCUUGUGGAGGAAAACCAGAUUAUGCUCUCGGAAUAUGUUGGGCUGCCGUGCACGGCCAUGGAAACGCAGAGCUCCGAGAGCCUCCUGACCUCGGAGGACGUGGAUGGCGCCGCCACCGAGUCCCACGACGCUGGCGUGCGCGUCGUGCAGAGCUUCUCCACGGACUACAGCACCGCCGACUCGGCCGGCGCCUUCCGGAGCGAGACGGCAGCCAGCAGCGUGUCCACCACGGAGUCCCCGGCCGCGGCCGUCCCGGCCACCCCGCAGUCCAACCCGUCCGAGCCGUCAGGAAACGCCCUCUCAUCAGCAGGCCAGAAGGAGAAGGCCUCGGACGCGGCGGAGGUCGAUUCGUCUCCCACCGUUCAGGAGAGCCCGGCGGUGAACUCGCCCAGCACCGUGUCUGAGAACGCGGUGGACAAGCCGCCGCCGGCGAUGAGCUUCAACUUCGCGGAGGAGGUGCAGGUGAACCAGAAGGAGAUCAUGGACAUGUACAUGAAGAGCAUGCAGCAGUUCACGGAGUCGCUGGCCAAGAUGAAGCUCCCGCUGGACAUGGACAAUGGCAGCGACAAGAGCGGGAGCGGCCCCGCCGCCGCCUCGCCCACGGAUUCCAGCGGCACCGACUCGAGCGCGGCGACGAAGAAACCGACGGCCGGGGCUGCGCAGGAGAAAUCUCCCAAGGUGUUCUACGGAAGCCGAGCCUUCUUCUAG